AUUAUAGUAUUAGUUACAUGAUGGCCAAAACAUACAGCUACAGUAGAAUGGAAGUGGUUGUGCAGUCCCCAGGAGUGGCAGAAUUUAAAGAAAGAUGGCCGCCCCUCUUCAAACCAUUCCAGAUCAGUGAGGAGGUUCGUAGGUGCACUGCAGUUCCACUACAGUCAACAUUGAUGUCCCAGCUGGACAGGUACACUCCAAAGCUCCUGCAGCUGUUUGAUGCAACGGGAGGAGCAGAGGGUCAGAACAUCAAGAACAUGCUGAUGGAACUGAUACAGGGAACAACAGAGACAAAUAUACACGAGGAACUGAAAACUCAACGGUUGAGAAUCUACACUUGCCAGGAUCCAGAUGCUGCUGGUAUUCUCAUCGAGGAUGUCCCAGUGCUUCCUGGUCUUGAAACUCCAGCAAGAGUAUGCUGCCUACUCCUCGGAUUAACAUAUGCCCUAAAUCUGGAAUAUACACCCAAACUCUCAGACAUUUGAGGUCUUCUAAAGACUUUGUUUUACUAGACUUUCUGCAGCCAAAACCAACAGCAGCUUCUUGCCUAAGCUGGUCCACCAUGAACAGUUUUAGCUCCUGUUCAACGUCAUACCUGGGUUUACAGACAGCCGUGGAGCUGAAUGGAGAGCACCCACCAACAAGUCAAUUGUUCUUUUAAUUGUCCUUGUAGGCAGGUGUAGGUGGAGUUUAUGACAAAUGUUUUCACUGUGAAGAUUUUAUCAGCUGCAGUUCAGAAUUUGUAUUCUGUAAAUUGUUGAAGUGUUCUAAUAUGAAUCUUAAAAUCAAAACCAUUUUUAUUGUUCUCAUACCCUUGGACCUGUGUGCAUAUGCUAAAAACACUGUUCUGUUCAGCACUUGAAGAUCAGGUCAUAGUUUACUCUGAUCUAUUUUAGUUUU